CAUGCCGUAAACGAUGGGUGCUAGGUGUCGCGGGCAUUGACCCCUGCGGUGCCGUAGCUAACGCAUUAAGCACCCCGCCUGGGGAGUACGGCCGCAAGGCUAAAACUCAAAGGAAUUGACGGGGGCCCGCACAAGCGGUGGAGCAUGUGGUUUAAUUCGAUGCAACGCGAAGAACCUUACCUGGGCUAGAAAACGCGAGAGCCUGGCGGAAACGUCGGGGUGCCCUUCGGGGAGCUCGUGGUUAGGUGC
rnacentral:rRNA from 1 species